rfam:Camponotus floridanus CamFlo_1.0_3.contig4029, whole genome shotgun sequence.
GUCUAGAUUGCUCAGUAAUCUAGAGCAGUUGCUCGGAAAGCGAAAAACUCGGGUUUGAUUCCCGAUACAGUCA